rnacentral:lncRNA from 1 species
AGCAAAUCCCACCUCCCAAAUUCCCAGACUGGCCCGAAACGCUGGGAAAAGCAUUCACCAGUCAGCUUAGGAAGGCUUUAAAAAUCAAAAAAGAAAGACCAAUCUUUCAACCACGGAUCCCGAGUCAGAGGCAGAUUUGGGUUUCAGUCUCAGGUCUCCUGCCCAUUCUCUUACUCACAUAAAAUGCUGCAAUUAAUUUAUUGCAGUCUGGCCACAGUUGUUUUAUUCAUCACCGCUGCGGAGCUCCCGUGAAUGACACCCAGGAGAGGCAAUAUCAUCUCAACAAAACCAUCCUGAUGAAAGAAAGCUGAGAAUUUGGGGAGAAACAGCCAGCUCAGUUAAUACCUGCAACCCUCUGAAGUUCCAGCAGCCUGGGCCACUGACAAAACCAUCUUAUUGUGCUCCCAGCCCACGGGUUUUUGUGCCAGCCCUCUCCAGUGGCUGUGCAGAACACGGAAAGGUUUUGCAGGCUCAGAAAGGACUGACCAAAACAUGCAGCCGAGACACCGAGUUGGGCUGUGUCCCCAUGACACGGAGCCAUGAGGUUCCCAGACUGCUGCUCAGAAAAUCCAGCUCGGUGCCCCUGCCCAGC